CUCUCUCCAGGCCUUUCCUACAACUCGCUACGGAAUACGGUCGCAAGCUCUAGUCGCUCCCUCCGGCCUCAGUGUGAACACUCAGGACCACGUUCCCUAGCAGGCGCCAAGCGCGCCAUUGGCAGUGUUGCCACGCCCUCGCCUCCCGCCCCCAAGCUAUGACGCAUGCCCAGUUCGGCUAACUCGUGUUCCCAGGGGGUGACGGGAAGCGGAAGUACUCGGAGCGCCCGGGAGGGAGGCUCUAGUUCACAGAAGCUGUUGUCAUCCGCCACUGAGGUUUUGGGACUUGGCAGAGAAGGCAGAGUGUACAACUGAGACCACUGCCAACCAACUUCAGACUCCAGCUUAUCAGUGCCCUGGCUUCCUCAGUCAGUCUAAGAAGCCCCAGCCUGAGACCUCUGGAGGAGGCCUCCAUCCUUUGUCCAGAGCAGAACAGGAUGGCCAUUUCCCAGGAAUCCCUGACCUUCAGGGACGUGUUUGUGGACUUCACCCUGGAAGAGUGGCAGCAACUGGACCCUGCUCAGAAAAACCUCUACAGGGAUGUCAUGCUUGAGAACUACAGCCACCUGGUGUCUCUGGGGUAUCUACUUGCCCAACCAGAUGUGAUCUUCAGGUUGGGACAAGGAGAAGAAGCCUGGAGGGCAGAUGGAAGGACUCCCAUACAGAGCUGUCCAGGGUAUCUAUUUGCCCAACCAGAUAUGAUCUUCAGGUUGGGACAAAGAGAAAAGGCCUGGAGGGCAGAUAGAAAGACUCUGAUACAGAGCUGUCCAAGUGAGCAGAAUCCAGGUGCGUCAGGCCAGGAUAAGAAACCCAGUUAUGUGUAAGAGCUGGGCUCCUGGACUGACUCUAAUAGGAUCUGACUUGAUCACAGGAAUUGAGGGUUGAAGGGGGGUCUUCACACUGCCUCAGUUUCCCAGAAGGCCUCAACCUUGUAACAUUUGAUGCCAUCACUUGGUUAUCAUCGGCUAUCAUUGGUUAUUGGUUAUCCUCAGUUACCCCAAUUCUUUGUUCAGCCUUUUCUGAAGCUCUCUUCUCCAAACUCUUGAGAUAAUUGAUGGGUUUUUGUCCAAAGCACACUCUAGUAAAAGACCAAAGUUUUCUUGGUUGGAAUUUGGAUUUCAUAGUCCCUAGGGAGCAACAAAAUCAUGGGACCUCACUCAAGGCUUCUAAUUACCUAAGGUAAAGGGGUGACCUUCAUUUCUGGGUCUGGGUGCCCUAUUUAAUGCUCUUUGCUUCCCAUGCUCAAAAUGACAGUUUUCCUUGCUCCUUAGCUUUCUGUCAGACCUCUAUAUCUCCGAGGCUUGCAUCUGGAAUGUAAGCUGCAUGAGCAAUUAUACUAAAACCAGUUCAAGAUCAGAAGAAAAAUGUCGCUUUUAAAUCCAAGCUGUUGUGGGACAUAAAUGACUGCUCUAUCUGUUCUUGUACUCUGAGAUUCUGCUGUCACAGUCAAUUAUUCAAGGAGAAGAUCUAAAAUCUUUUGUUUCCUGUUGGUUUUUAUGUAAAUUUGUGCAUACCUGUGAAUUUCAGGUUGUACCUACAUGUGUGUUUUUGUCUAUAUAUUGCUUACAUGGUACCAAAAUUGGCAUGUAAAUAAAUGAACACUCAACUUUUUUAAAAAAAAGAAUGGAUCCAAAUGCCUUUUAUGUCACAUGACUUAAACCUCUGAGAAAAAGUUCAAUUUCAGUGAGAUAAGAGUAAGAUGUCUUAAAGAUCAUUAACCCACAUGAUUUCUGGGUAAUCAAUCAACAGCAUUGUUUUCUAUAAAAUGUUUGAAGUGUAAUGUUCAUUGCUGCUAUGGUUUGGAUGUGAGGUGUCCCCCAAUAGCUCACAUGUGCGACAAUGCAAGAAAGUUUGGAGGAGAAAUGAUUGAGUUAU